rnacentral:rRNA from 1 species
AGUAAGACGUGAGAGUAGGCAAAUCCGCUCUCUAUAACGUUGAGCUAUGAUGGCGAGCUCGAAUGAGCGAAGUUCCUGAUUUCACACUGUCAAGAAAAGCCUCUAGCGAGGUAGGAGGUACCCGUACCGCAAACCGACACAGGUAGUCGAGGAGAGAAUCCUAAGGUGAGCGAGAGAACUCUCGUUAAGGAACUCGGCAAAAUGACCCCGUAACUUCGGGAGAAGGGGUGCUCUAGUAGGGUGCAAGCCCGAGAGAGCCGCAGUGAAUAGGCCCAGGCGACUGUUUAGCAAAAACACAGGUCUCUGCAAAACCGUAAGGUGACGUAUAGGGGCUGACGCCUGCCCGGUGCUGGAAGGUUAAGGGGAUUGCUUAGCGCAAGCGAAGGUGAGAACCGAAGCCCCAGUAAACGGCGGCCGUAACUAUAACGGUCCUAAGGUAGCGAAAUUCCUUGUCGGGUAAGUUCCGACCCGCACGAAAGGCGUAACGAUCUGGGCACUGUCUCAACGAGAGACUCGGUGAAAUUAUAGUACCUGUGAAGAUGCAGGUUACCCGCGACAGGACGGAAAGACCCCGUGGAGCUUUACUGUAGCCUGAUAUUGAAUUUUGGUACAGCUUGUACAGGAUAGGUAGGAGCCAGAGAGACCGGAGCGCAGCUUCGGUGGAGGCGUCCUUGGGAUACUACCCCAGCUGUAUUGAAAUUCUAACCCGUACCCCUAUGCGGGGUAGGAGACAGUGUCAGGCGGACAGUUUGACUGGGGCGGUCGCCUCCUAAAGAGUAACGGAGGCGCCCAAAGGUUCCCUCAGAAUGGUUGGAAAUCAUUCGCAGAGUGUAAAGGCACAAGGGAGCUUGACUGCGAGACCUACAAGUCGAGCAGGGUCGAAAGACGGGCUUAGUGAUCCGGUGGUUCCGCAUGGAAGGGCCAUCGCUCAACGGAUAAAAGCUACCCCGGGGAUAACAGGCUUAUCUCCCCCAAGAGUCCACAUCGACGGGGAGGUUUGGCACCUCGAUGUCGGCUCAUCGCAUCCUGGGGCUGUAGUCGGUCCCAAGGGUUGGGCUGUUCGCCCAUUAAAGCGGUACGCGAGCUGGGUUCAGAACGUCGUGAGACAGUUCGGUCCCUAUCCGUCGUGGGCGUAGGAAAUUUGAGAGGAGCUGUCCUUAGUACGAGAGGACCGGGAUGGACACACCGCUGGUGUACCAGUUGUUCUGCCAAGAGCAUCGCUGGGUAGCUAUGUGUGGACGGGAUAAGUGCUGAAAGCAUCUAAGCAUGAAGCCCCCCUCAAGAUGAGAUUUCCCAUUACGCAAGUAAGUAAGAUCCCUUGAAGACGACAAGGUAGAUAGGUUCGAGGUGGAAGUGUGGUGACACAUGGAGCUGACGAAUACUAAUCGAUCGAGGACUUAACC